rnacentral:rRNA from 1 species
GUUGAACGCUGGCGGAAUGCUUUACACAUGCAAGUCGAACGGUAGAGGGGGCAACCCCACGAGAGUGGCGAACGGGUGAGUAAUAUAUCGGAACGUGCCCAGUCGUGGGGGAUAACGUAGCGAAGGUUACGCUAAUACCGCAUACGAUCUAAGGAUGAAAGCGGGGGAUCGCAAGACCUCGCGCGAUUGGAGCGGCCGAUAUCAGAUUAGGUAGUUGGUGGGGUAAAGGCUCACCAAGCCAACGAUCUGUAGCUGGUCUGAGAGGACGAUCAGCCACACUGGAACUGAGACACGGUCCAGACUCCGACGGGAGGCAGCAGUGGGGAAUUUUGGACAAUGGACGCAAGUCUGAUCCAGCCAUUCCGCGUGCAGGAUGAAGGCCCUCGGGUUGUAAACUGCUUUUGUACGGAACGAAAAGGUCUCUCUUAAUACGGGGGACUCAUGACGGUACCGUAAGAAUAAGCACCGGCUAACUACGUGCCAGCCGCCGCCGUAAGAC